rnacentral:rRNA from 1 species
GACGAACGCUGGCGGCGUGCUUAACACAUGCAAGUCGAACGGAAAGGCCCUGCUUUUGUGGGGUGCUCGAGUGGCGAACGGGUGAGUAACACGUGAGUAACCUGCCCUUGACUUUGGGAUAACUUCAGGAAACUGGGGCUAAUACCGGAUAGGAGCUCCUGCUGCAUGGUGGGGGUUGGAAAGUUUCGGCGGUUGGGGAUGGACUCGCGGCUUAUCAGCUGGUUGGUGGGGUAGUGGCUUACCAAGGCUUUGACGGGUAGCCGGCCUGAGAGGGUGACCGGCCACAUUGGGACUGAGAUACGGCCCAGACUCCUACGGGAGGCAGCAGUGGGGAAUAGUGCACAAUGGGCGGAAGCCUGAAGCAGCAACGCCGCGUGCGGGAUUACGGCCUUCGGGUUGUAAACCGCUUUCGCCUGUGACGAAGCGUGAGUGACGGUAAUGGGUAAAGAAGCACCGGCUAACUACGUG